GUAGUGAUGGAACCCAUUCAUUUAUACACCUUUUCUGCAUAUGUUUGAAGCAAGAAGCACCUGUUGGACAGAACACAGUAAGCCUGUAAUGUCAAGGGCUAUGAGAGUUGAUUCUUCCAUCACAGCACUGCACCUAGAGGUUGUAACCUUUCUGGCAGACCACACUUUCUACUCGACACCUUUCUUCCAUCACAGCACUGCACCUAGAGGUUGCAACCUUUCUGGCAGACCACACUUUCUACUCGACACCUUGUCUGCACAUGUUUUAAGCAAGAAGCACCUGUUGGACAGAACACAGUAAGCCUGUAAUGUCAAGGGCUAUGAGAGUUGAUUCUUCCAUCACAGCACUGCACCUAGAGGUUGUAACCUUUCUGGCAGACCACACUUUCUACUCGUGUCAGUUUCACAUACAUACUCAACCAUGAGGGAGAUAUACCUUGCAGACAAUCAACUGAUGCAAUUCUGGUUGAUCUUACAAAUAUCAUUAUACAGGUAGAAGUUAAAGGAGAAUGAAACCAUUGGAACAAGAUAGCUUGUGUGAAAACAGAAAAAGCAAAGAAACAGAUCAACGAA